UACGGAGGGUGCGAGCGUUGUCCGGAAUCACUGGGCGUAAAGGGCGCGUAGGCGGUCUGCUAAGCGUGCGGUGAAAGCCUGGGGCUCAACCCCAGGUCUGCCGUGCGAACUGGUGGACUAGAGCACUGUAGGAGGCAGGUGGAAUUCCGGGUGUAGCGGUGGAAUGCGUAGAGAUCCGGAAGAACACCGGAGGCGAAGGCGGCUUGCUGGGCGGUAGUCGUGACGCUGAGGCGCGAAAGCGUGGGGAGCGAACAGG
rnacentral:rRNA from 1 species